UACGUAGGUGGCAAGCGUUGUCCGGAUUUAUUGGGUUUAAAGGGUGCGUAGGCGGCCUUCUAAGUCAGUUGUGAAAUAUCCCGGCUUAACCGGGAGGGUGCGAUUGAUACUGGGAGGCUUGAGUUCCGGUGAGGUAGGCGGAAUUGAAGGUGUAGCGGUGAAAUGCAUAGAUAUCUUCAAGAACACCGAUAGCGAAGGCAGCUUACUAAUGGGAAACUGACGCUGAGGCACGAAAGUGUGGGGAUCAAACAGG
rnacentral:rRNA from 1 species